rnacentral:rRNA from 1 species
UACAGAGGGUGCGAGCGUUAAUCGGAAUUACUGGGCGUAAAGCGCACGUAGGCGGUUCGAUCAGUCGGGUGUGAAAGCCCCGGGCUCAACCUGGGAAUUGCAUUCGAUACUGUCGAGCUAGAGUAUGGUAGAGGAAAGCGGAAUUCCACAUGUAGCGGUGAAAUGCGUAGAUAUGUGGAGGAACAUCAGUGGCGAAGGCGGCUUUCUGGACCAAUACUGACGCUGAGGUGCGAAAGCGUGGGGAGCAAACAGG